rnacentral:misc_RNA from 1 species
GUUACUCCUGCUGCUCUGUUAAUAGAUGAUGAUCUCAGUACUGAAGCAUUUGAUAAUCCAUCAGAUACCCAAUCACAGUUUCCCAUAGACACCAGUCUCUUGAGUGUUAAUCAACUGCUAGAAUCAGUACUUGAGACCACACAACAAGUUGGGAGAAUUUCAGUCUCGACAACCCCGGAUGUGCCAUUCAAGGAAAUGGCUGGUCAUUGUGAGGCUCUUUUGAUGGGAAAACAGCA